UACGUAGGGGGCAAGCGUUGUCCGGAAUUAUUGGGCGUAAAGCGCGCGCAGGCGGUUCGUUAAGUCUGGUGUUUAAUCCCGGGGCUCAACCCCGGGUCGCACUGGAAACUGGUGGACUUGAGUACAGAAGAGGAAAGUGGAAUUCCACGUGGUAGCGGUGAAUGCGUAGAGAUGUGGAGGAACACCAGUGGCGAAGGCGACUUCUGGUCUGUAACUGACGCUGAGGCGCGAAAGCGUGGGGAGCAAACAGG
rnacentral:rRNA from 1 species